CGCCGGUCCGGCGUGGAACGCCGGGGCCUUCACCGGGCUCGGCGUCGCGGUGAUCCUCGCGCUGGCCGGCGU
rnacentral:tRNA from 1 species